rnacentral:rRNA from 1 species
UACAGAGGUGGCAAGCGUUGUUCGGAAUUACUGGGCGUAAAGGGCGCGUAGGCGGCCUGUUAAGUCGAACGUGAAAUCCCCGGGCUCAACCCGGGAACUGCGUCCGAUACUGGCAGGCUUGAAUUCGGGAGAGGGAUGUGGAAUUCCAGGUGUAGCGGUGAAAUGCGUAGAUAUCUGGAGGAACACCGGUGGCGAAGGCGGCAUCCUGGACCGAUAUUGACGCUGAUGCGCGAAAGCCAGGGGAGCAAACGGG